GGGUAUUUACCCUGUGCCAACCGUCUAAACAACAGAGAAAACCCACCCCUCAUGCCUCAUAAUGAGAAGCUGGGGCAACACAUGGGGCUUUCCCACUCGUCACAAAUGAUGGCUGUUUGUGCUAGUUAACCUUUUCUAAGCCUGGGUCAGCUCCUGCUGGGAGGCAGGGGCGAUCUGGAGAGAGUGAAAGCCUGGCAGACCCCAAAGUCUCCAGCACGCCUUGGCCCCCAACACAUGCCACCGCCUUUGCAGAAUACCAAACGAUCCCACAUCACGCUCUUCAUAAGUCAGCCAGGCUCCAUGUGCAGCUGACAGUUCAGAUUCCAGAGGAGAACUGCCUCCAGGAACACUCUGCAGAUACUUGCUGACAACUUUUAUUUUCUGGCACAGCUUACCUUCUCUUUUUAGAGGAAUCUCUAAAAAAGGAUGAAGUGGAAAUUUUCCCAUCCUGGGCCUUAUUAUUCUCAGCUAUCUCCACUAGCUGUGUAAAGAGAAGACUUCUUUGUACUUUCAAAGCCUAAAGUCAAAGAUACCCGAACGUCUGUAGAGCUCAAAUUCUCAAAUCCUGCCAUCCCUGACUAUCUCCUGUCGCCAGCCCAGACCUGUGGAUUAUUGUGCUAAUUCAACACCAUCUGCUUAUAAGGUGAGCUAGAGGCCAGAGAACAAACAGGUGAUAAAAGAGCAAGAAAUCUUUGCAAAAGGAUAGGAAGAAUGCGUCGUAGGGGCUGUGAAAAGAAGCUAAAGAAGGGUUCAGAUCUGACAGAGCAGUUAGAGGAAAGGAUCUAUCAGCUUUAUAAUGACCACAACAAGAUCAUAUCCAGGAAAAGCUCCAGGGAUUCACUCAGAAAGUGGCAAAGAUCAGCCAUUUGGAAACAGAUCUCAAACAAGUUGGCCACAGCAUGGAGACUGUAUACGAAAACCUGUGCAUCCAGCCUGAGGUAUCCCGCCUGAGCAAACUCAUUCAUCUGAGCAAACUCAGGGAUGGCCCAGCUGAGAGUAAAUGUGAAGAGAAACCAGGCAGCCUGCCCCACCCCAUAAGGCCACAGUCCCUGCAAAGCCCAUGGUGCUCUUGCCAUCUCAUUUGUGACCCGCUGUAAUAUGGUAUGUCCAAGCAGAGAAGCCAGACCACUGUCAUUUCCCAUCAUUGCGUGAUCAGCUGUGUGGUGACAGAAAGAACAAAAUCCCCUGCACCUCUGCUGUUCAGAAACUGUCUUCUCUGUCCACAGCCCUGAGCCCUGCAUCCCUGGUAUAUACCCCCCAGGGUCUGGGCAGUGCUAACCUGGGUUUAUUUAUUACAGCAGAGUCUAAGACUCAAACAUGGACUAGACUACCAUGUCCCAGUGACUCACAGCACUCAGAUGUGUUCGUUCCUCCUGAACGAACUGAAACUACUUCUCAGGUGGUUACCAGUAAAUGUGGUCCCUACAACGUCCCAGUGACUCAGGGCACGAGAUGUGUUAGUUUCUUCUGUGGCUGAAACUGCUUCUCAGGUGGUUACCAGUAAAUGCAGCCCAACAUUGUGGGGUCAGACGUGUAGCCUCUUUAUUUUCCUCUCUUAUUCUGCAUCAACGCCCAGCAUAAGGCACUCCCCCAAGAUGGGAGGGUCGGAGGGUGCACCGUGAACUCUUGGUGUAAGGGGGGUUUAGGCAGAGACCAAGGUGGUCUCAAGGAAGUUGAUUCAAUGUCACACUCCUCUCAAGAAAAGUUUCUAUUCCAAGAUAAAUG